rnacentral:pre_miRNA from 1 species
CAUGUACUUCCUCCGUUCCGAAUUACUUGUCUCGGAAAUGAAUGUAUCUAGAACUGAAAUACGUCUAGAUACAUCCAUUUCUGCGACAAGUAAUUCCGAACGGAAGGAGUACUUC